CAUGGCUCAGGAUGAACGCUGGCGGCGUGCCUAAUACAUGCAAGUAGAACGCUGAAGGAGGAGCUUGCUCUUUCCGGAUGAGUUGCGAACGGGUGAGUAACGCGUAGGUAACCUACCUGGUAGCGGGGGAUAACUAUUGGAAACGAUAGCUAAUACCGCAUAACAGUAGAUAUUGCAUGAUAUCUGCUUGAAAGGUGCAAAUGCAUCACUACCAGAUGGACCUGCGUUGUAUUAGCUAGUUGGUGAGGUAACGGCUCACCAAGGCGACGAUACAUAGCCGACCUGAGAGGGUGAACGGCCACAUUGGGACUGAGACACGGCCCAGACUCCUACGG
rnacentral:rRNA from 1 species